ACCAACCCCACCAAUUACUGAGUAUUAUCUGAGGUGCUUCAGAAGGGUACGCACACAUUUUACAACCUUGAUAAGUUAUAUCAAGUGAUAGUGCAGCACAAAACAAUGUUAUUAUUUUGGUUUGAGCAGAAAGAUUAGGAACCUGGUUUAUGUCAAAGAAUGACUCUCCCUGUUUGUGAAAAAAAAUUCCAUGGAAGAUACCAAGACCUUCAUUGAUAAAUAUUCAGUAUAAACUUCAAUAAUAAUACAGGAUGGUCUUGAAG
rnacentral:lncRNA from 1 species